GUGGGGAAUCUUCCGCAAUGGACGAAAGUCUGACGGAGCAACGCCGCGUGAGUGAUGAAGGCCUUCGGGUUGUAAAGCUCUGUUAAUCGGGACGAAAGAGCGCUGUGCGAAUAGUGUAGCGAAGUGACGGUACCGGAAUAGAAAGCCACGGCUAACUACGUGCCAGCAGCCGCGGUAAUACGUAGGUGGCAAGCGUUGUCCGGAAUUAUUGGGCGUAAAGCGCGCGCAGGCGGAUCUGUAAGUCUGUCUUAAAAGUUCGGGGCUCAACCCCGUGAGGGGAUAGAAACUGCAGAUCUUGAGUAUCGGAGAGGAAAGUGGAAUUCCUAGUGUAGCGGUGAAAUGCGUAGAGAUUAGGAAGAACACCAGUGGCGAAGGCGACUUUCUGGACGAACACUGACGCUGAGGCGCGAAAGCCAGGGGAGCGAACGGGAUUAGAUACCCCAGUAGUCC
rnacentral:rRNA from 1 species